AGUGAACGCUGGCGGUAGGCCUAACACAUGCAAGUCGAACGGCAGCACAGUAAGAGCUUGCUCUUACGGGUGGCGAGUGGCGGACGGGUGAGGAAUACAUCGGAAUCUACUUUUUCGUGGGGGAUAACGUAGGGAAACUUACGCUAAUACCGCAUACGACCUACGGGUGAAAGCAGGGGAUCUUCGGACCUUGCGCGAUUGAAUGAGCCGAUGUCGGAUUAGCUAGUUGGCGGGGUAAAGGCCCACCAAGGCGACGAUCCGUAGCUGGUCUGAGAGGAUGAUCAGCCACACUGGAACUGAGACACGGUCCAGACUCCUACGGGAGGCAGCAGUGGGGAACAUUGGACAAUGGGCGCAAGCCUGAUCCAGCCAUACCGCGUGGGUGAAGAGGGCCUUCGGGUUGUAAAGCCCUUUUGUUGGGAAAGAAAAGCAGCAGGUUAAUACCCCGCUGUUCUGACGGUACCCAAAGAAUAAGCACCGGCUAACUUCGUG
rnacentral:rRNA from 1 species